ACACGUCAUCACGGGUGUCUCGACGCCGCCUGAAUGUUUCUGUCUUAGAAAACCUUCCUCGUCGAAACGGGGGUGCACUUUAGUCUCUUAAAAAUUGAGUGUGACUUGAAUAGUUGAAUUUACUGUGUCUACCUACUGGAGCAUUGAGCCGAGUCCUGUAACUUUGAAGGAAAAUCGACUGCAAGCCAAAUAGAUUCUAUGCUUGAACCAUCUCCUUUUCCAAACCUGUGAUGUGGAAGGCUAAGGGCAGCAGAUACAUGGGAACACCAUCACCUGCAAGUUCCCCUUCAAGCCACAUAAAAUCCUGACUUGGAACUAAAUCGCUGUACCUUCAUUAUUGAUGGGACAAAAUCCUGGAACUGCCUUCCAGUCAGCAGUGUGGACAUAUCUACAGUAAACUGACUGCAGAACUGUCAGAAGGCAGCUGACCACCACGUACACAAGGGUGAUUCAGGAUGGGCAAUUAUUUGUUGACACCCAUGAGCAUGUGUAGUAGCAAUGAAAUCUUUAAAAUAAAUUGAAAUAAAGAUUAA